rnacentral:rRNA from 1 species
UGCGAGUGAAGCGGGAAAAGCUCAAAUUUGAAAUCUGGCAGUCUAUUUUUUCUUCUUUGGCUGUCCGAGUUGUAAUCUAGAGAAGUGCUUACCUGCACUGGACCAUGUAUAAGUCUCCUGGAAUGGAGCGUCGCAGAGGGUGAGAAUCCCGUCUUUGACAUGGACCGCCAGUGUGUUGUGGUGUGCUCUCAAAGAGUCGAGUUGUUUGGGAAUGCAGCUCUAAAUGGGUGGUAAACUCCAUCUAAAGCUAAAUAUUGGCGAGAGACCGAUAGCGAACAAGUACCGUGAGGGAAAGAUGAAAAGGACUUUGGAAAGAGAGUUAAACAGUAUGUGAAAUUGUUGAAAGGGAAACGCUUGAAGUCAGUUGUGUCGGCUAGGGAUCAACCUAGCUCUUUUGCUGGGUGAACUUCCUAUUCUGACAGGCCAACAUCAGUUUUGACCGCCGGAAAAGAGCGGAGGGAAUGUGGCACCUUCGGGUGUGUUAUAGCCCUUUGUCAUAUGUGGCGGUCGGGACUGAGGGAUGCAGCGUGCCGCGAGGCUGGGUUUCGACCACGUUCACGCUUAGGAUGUUGGCUUUUAAUGGCUUCAAUCGACCCGUCUUGAAACACGGACCAAGGAGUCUAACAUGCCUGCGAGUGUUUGGGUGGAAAACCCUUGCGCGCAAUGAAAGUGAAAGUUGAGAUCCCUGUCGUGGGGAGCAUCGACGCCCGGACUUGAGCUUUCAGCGACGGAUCCGCGGUAGAGCAUGCAUGUUGGGACCCGAAAGAUGGUGAACUAUGCCUGAAUAGGGCAAAGCCAGAGGAAACUCUGGUGGAGGCUCGUAGCGAUUCUGACGUGCAAAUCGAUCGUCAAAUU